rnacentral:rRNA from 1 species
AGUGAACGCUGGCGGCAGGCCUAAUGCAUGCAAGUCGAACGGCAGCACAGCAGAGCUUGCUCUGUGGGUGGCGAGUGGCGGACGGGUGAGGAAUACAUGGGAAUCUGCCCAGUCGUGGGGGAUAACGUAGGGAAACUUACGCUAAUACCGCAUGCGCCCUUCGGGGAAAGCCGGGACCUUCGGGCCUGGCGCGAUUGGAUGAGCCCAUGUCGGAUUAGCUAGUUGGCGGGGUAAUGGCCCACCAAGGCGACGAUCCGUAGCUGGUCUGAGAGGAUGAUCAGCCACACUGGAACUGAGACACGGUCCAGACUCCUACGGGAGGCAGCAGUAGGGAAUAUUGGACAAUGGCGCAAGCCUGAUCCAGCCAUGCCGCCGUGAGUGAAGAAGGCCCUCGGGUUGUAAAGCUCUUUG